UGCUGCGGAUGAAGAUAGAUUGAAAUAUACAGUUAUCCCUGUCUGAUUAUUAUUUUUUAAGUGCUGAUAUCUUUGAAAUCUGACGCAGAG